GGGGGAGUAACUAUUGGAAACGAUAGCUAAUACCGCAUAAGAGUAGAUGUUGCAUGACAUUUGCUUAAAAGGUGCAAUUGCACCACUACCAGAUGGACCUGCGUUGCAUUAGCUAGUUGGUGGGGUAACGGGCUCACCAAGGCGACGAUACAUAGCCGACCUGAGAGGGUGAUCGGCCACACUGGGACUGAGACACGGCCCAG
rnacentral:rRNA from 1 species